AAAGUCGUAACAAGGUUUCCGUAGGUGAACCUGCGGAAGGAUCAUUACCGAGUCAGGCCCUCAGGGGCCUUUACUCUCCACACCCUGCUUACCUACCUCCGUUGCCUUGUCGGCCCGUUCGUUCAGAAGCUUGGAGAUCUGAUCUGCGGCAUAUAGAUGGUUGGGAGAAGGUGGCGUCUCCAAGCACCCAGCCUGAUAACAUACGUGCCCCGAGAGGGGGUCGCCUUAGAGCCCCCAAGGGAUCUAAUCUGCGGCGUAUACACGGCUGGGAGAAGACCUGCACUCAAGCACUCAGCCUGUUAACAUAUGCUACUCGAGAGAGGUCGCCUCAGGUCCCAGGCCUUCGAGACACGGAACCGUCAGAGGACGAACAAACGCCUUGUCGUAACCGGACGUCUGAGUAAAACACUAAUAGUUAAA
rnacentral:misc_RNA from 1 species